GCUCCGGCAGUGCGUAUCUACUCUAAUUUCUCUUUUCUUUCUUCUAGUAAUCCAGACAAGACUUGCAUGUUUUCUGCUCCAUUCUUUGGGUCAAGAACACACUGGUUAAUAGCCAAUUAUUUCAUGCCCUAAGGAAAUUUUGGCAAAGAAGUUCCUGGGAAGAGUCAACUUGUUUUGGGAAAUGAGACUAAUAUUCAGUAAGUGAGAUAUUUCCCUUUGCUCUCCUUUGCAAUACUGUCCCAUCUCAGCACAAGGCUGAAUUUAUUGCUGUAAUAGCUGUGAUUCAGACAAAGCAUAAUCAUUUCCCAGAGUUGGUUUUUGGGUUUUUUUUGUUUUUCACAAAAAGUGAAGUUUUAGCCAGGACACUAUAGCAAAAAUUUCAUUUAGGGAAAUUCUACUUAUUAAAAAUUUCCCUUUUAAAAUCUGUCCCAAACUACUGGUUGCUUUUUCUUUGAGCACUCUGAAAGGGAUAAUUCACUUUAAAUUCACAGCUUUCCAAAUUCUGAAGCCUGCUGAAAUUUUCCUGGACUGCCUGAGCCAGAAUGUGCAGCUCCAGCUAAGAUAUCUAGAGAUCCUGCAAGACUAUUUUAUCCAUUAUGUGACCUUCUUACUUGACAUUCCUUUGUCAUUGUUCUGAAUCCAAGCACAAAGAGCUGAAGAAGGCUGGGAUGCAGAGGAGGGGAGAGGCCAGGAUUGUCCCCCAGAGCUCCCAAAGCAGGUGUGCCUGGGCAGGUCUGGGCUCUCACACUGCAGCCAAGGUAAUUGCAUUGCAUAUCUGUUUAAAUGCUAAAGAAUAACACACGUGCUCACAGCCUCCUCGUGGGUUAAACUGUCUUUCAUUCACAGGAGCAAGGUGACAUAUAACCCUUUUUUAUACUCAUGCUGGAAGUUGUGGUUGAAAAUCCCCACUCUCAAUACCCCCAGCCCCCAUUCCAGACUUUACUGGGUUUCUACUAGUGAGUAGCAUGGUUUAUAAUUUUACUGUUUUCUUGUGUUUAAAUGUAAUGCCUCUCUAGCUACUAAUUUUAUUUUCCUGUUUAAUUUAUUCUCCAGAUUCUCUGGCCUUCAAUCAAUGCACUGAGUGAUUAAAUUAUUAUCCCAGUAAUGAGAUGUGACACAAUCUAUGCCAGUUACCUGUGUGACCUGCUAAGUAGGUUAAUUGGCAACCCUGAAUAAUUAUCACCCGCCUCAUCUUGCUG
rnacentral:lncRNA from 14 species